AGUGCAGAAGAGGAGAGUGGAAUUCCACGUGUAGCGGUGAAAUGCGUAGAGAUGUGGAGGAACACCAGUGGCGAAGGCGACUCUCUGGUCUGUAACUGACGCUGAGGAGCGAAAGCGUGGGGAGCGAACAGGAUUAGAUACCCUGGUAGUCCACGCCGUAAACGAUGAGUGCUAAGUGUUAGGGGGUUUCCGCCCCUUAGUGCUGCAGCUAACGCAUUAAGCACUCCGCCUGGGGAGUACGGUCGCAAGACUGAAACUCAAAGGAAUUGACGGGGGCCCGCACAAGCGGUGGAGCAUGUGGUUUAAUUCGAAGCAACGCGAAGAACCUUACCAGGUCUUGACAUCCUCUGACAAUCCUAGAGAUAGGACGUCCCCUUCGGGGGCAGAGUGACAGGUGGUGCAUGGUUGUCGUCAGCUCGUGUCGUGAGAUGUUGGGUUAAGUCCCGCAACGAGCGCAACCCUUGAUCUUAGUUGCCAGCAUUCAGUUGGGCACUCUAAGGUGACUGCCGGUGACAAACCGGAGGAAGGUGGGGAUGACGUCAAAUCAUCAUGCCCCUUAUGACCUGGGCUACACACGUGCUACAAUGGACAGAACAAAGGGCAGCGAAACCGCGAGGUUAAGCCAAUCCCACAAAUCUGUUCUCAGUUCGGAUCGCAGUCUGCAACUCGA
rnacentral:rRNA from 1 species